rnacentral:rRNA from 1 species
CCUACGGGAUGCAGCAGUGAGGAAUAUUGGUCAAUGGCCGGAAGGCUGAACCAGCCAUGCCGCGUGAAGGUCAGUGCCCUAUGGGCGUUAAACUUCUUUUGUGCGGGAGCAAUAAUGGUCACGUGUGGCCCGACUAGAGUACCGUACGAAUAAGCAUCGGCUAACUCCGUUCCAGCAGCCGCGGUAAUACGGGGGAUGCAGGCGUUAUCCGGAUUUAUUGGGUGUAAAGGGUGCGUAGACGGAGAAGCAAGUUAGUUGUGAAAUCCCUCGGCUUAACUGAGGAACUGCAACUAAAACUACUGCCCUUGAGUACUGGAGAGGAAAGUGGAAUUCCUAGUGUAGCGGUGAAAUGCGUAGAUAUUAGGAGGAACACCAGUGGCGAAGGCGACUUGCUGGACAGUAACUGACGUUGAGGCACGAAAGUGUGGGGAGCAAACAGGAUUAGAUACCCGUGUAGUC